GUGGCGAACGGGUGAGUAAUACAUCGGAACGUGUCCUGGAGUGGGGGAUAGCCCGGCGAAAGCCGGAUUAAUACCGCAUACGAUCCUGGGAUGAAAGCGGGGGACCGAAAGGCCUCGCGCUCAAGGGGCGGCCGAUGGCAGAUUAGCUAGUUGGUGGGGUAAAGGCCUACCAAGGCGACGAUCUGUAGCUGGUCUGAGAGGACGACCAGCCACACUGGGACUGAGACACGGCCCAGACUCCUACGGGAGGCAGCAGUGGGGAAUUUUGGACAAUGGGGGCAACCCUGAUCCAGCAAUGCCGCGUGUGUGAAGAUAGGCCUUCGGGUUGUAAAGCACUUUUGUCCGGAAAGAAAACCUCCGUCCUAAUACGGUGGGGGGAUGACGGUACCGGAAGAAUAAGCACCGGCUAACUACGUGCCAGCAGCCGCGGUAAUACGUAGGGUGCAAGCGUUAAUCGGAAUUACUGGGCGUAAAGCGUGCGCAGGCGGUUCGCUAAGACCGAUGUGAAAUCCCCGGGCUUACCUGGGAACUGCAUUGGUGACUGGCGGGCUAGAGUAUGGCAGAGGGGGGUAGAAUUCCACGUGUAGCAGUGAAAUGCGUAGAGAUGUGGAGGAAUACCGAUGGCGAAGGCAGCCCCCUGGGCCAAUACUGACGCUCAUGCACGAAAGCCGUGGGGAGCAAACAGGAUUAGAUACCCUGGUAGUCCAGCGCCCUAAACGAUGUCAACUAGUUGUCGGGUCUUCAUUGACUUGGUAACGAAGCUAACGCGUGAAGUUGACCGCCUGGGGAGUACGGUCGCAAGAUUAAAACUCAAAGGAAUUGACGGGGACCCGCACAAGCGGUGGAUGAUGUGGAUUAAUUCGAUGCAACGCGAAAAACCUUACCUACCCUUGACAUGUACGGAACCUUGCUGAGAGGUGAGGGUGCCCGAAAGGGAGUCGUAACACAGGUGCUGCAUUGGCUGUCGUCAGCUCGUGUCGUGAGAUGUUGGGUUAAGUCCCGCAAGCGAGCGCAACCCUUGUCCCUAGUUGCUACGCAAGAGCACUCUAGGGAGACUGCCGGUGACAAACCGGAGGAAGGGGGGAUGACGUCAAGUCCUCAUGGCCCUUAUGGGUAGGGCUUCACACGUCAUACAAUGGUCGGAACAGAGGGUUGCCACCGCGAGGUGGAGCCAAUCCCAGAAAACCGAUCC
rnacentral:rRNA from 1 species